rnacentral:rRNA from 1 species
UACGUAGGGCGCAAGCGUUGUCCGGAAUUAUUGGGCGUAAAGAGCUCGUAGGCGGCCUGUUACGUCUGCUGUGAAAUCCCGGGGCUUAACCCCGGGCGUGCAGUGGAUACGGGCAGGCUCGAGUUCGGUAGGGGAGACUGGAAUUCCUGGUGUAGCGGUGAAAUGCGCAGAUAUCAGGAGGAACACCGGUGGCGAAGGCGGGUCUCUGGGCCGAUACUGACGCUGAGGAGCGAAAGCGUGGGGAGCGAACAGG